GCUGAGAAGGUAGCAUUGCUAUCCAUGAAGAGUUCGUUUGGUCCAAGCUCUACUUUCCCUUUCAUCUAUUUCUUUCUAACAUCUUCGAUCUUUAUCGAAUUGUUUCUGCACACCUCACUCCGAACUCCACUCGAAUGCUUUGCUCCUUUGUUGUCUAUGAUAUCCUUCAUAUCUCUUCAAGACCAUCUUUAUGAUAACUCUUUUUCUUCUGAAGAAGCAUCCUUAGGAAAAGGGUUGGUGGUACUUCAGCCCUCGACCCCAUCGUCAGUUUAUCACUGGGCUUUCCUCUUCCAUCCACGGGUGGAAGAACAGAUUUUUCCUUGUUUUGGCCGAUCAUCUAUGGGGUUUUAGUCUAGUUUGGCAUAAGCCCAAUUGGUCAUCUAACAGAAACAAUACCAUGAUGGGGAUCAAGAAGACUUCUGCCUCUGCUCGAUGUCAAGGUGCCACCCCAGCACCAGCUGUUGAUCGAGCAAAAUCUGUAUGAUGCCGGGCUCGACCAGGCCAAUUCUUUAGGUAAUAGAUUUAGUAUCUCCCCCCACUUUCCUUGUGAUGUCCACCUUUACUAACAUUUGACUAACUCUUUUGCUCGGUGUUGCAGUCAUGAGGUCAUCUGCUGAGGCGAUACGGAACGUCGCUAGGAAGAGGUUGGCGUCAUCUCGAGGGGUCUUCUUGGGAGUCCAGCUAGAAGAAGCAAAGGGAUGAGGUCGGGAGUCCUUGGCGCAGAGGGUGGCCCCUAUGCCAGCCUGAGCCACCUCGCCCUAGCUAAUGCUGACAUCCCGCGCUUCAAGUUCGGCCCCAGCUAAGGUCGAUGACGACCUGAUCGUCAUCGAAUCCAACCCUGCCAGUGCUGCACAACUGGUGUCGUCGGAGCUGGGUCCAUCUCGGGCUCUCACUCCAUUGGUCUGCUACAUGCCGACACUUGCUUUCUACUACUGUCGGCGAGUUAUUGGUUGUGGCUCGGGGAAAAAUGUUGCAGCCUCCAGAUGUAUCCGAGGGAGGAUUCAUCACCCUUGGGAUGAGGGUUGGGGAGAGCGAUUCUGCUUUCUGGAACCCUCAGGUUGUCGAGGACCUAAUAAAGCUGACACUACUACAUGUCGAUUGGGAGGCGAGGAAAGCUUGUUCGGUGGAUGACAUGAUGUCAUCAUCGUGCACUACGCUCGGAGAAAGUUUGAUUUCUUCCUUAUAGAGCUCACAUCCUAGUUAACUAUUUUUCACCCCUUUUCGCAGCUGAUGCAUGAUAUCACCAUCAUGCAUGAGGGGUUGACCAGCUUUAAUCAGCUCAGCCACUCUUUAGAGGAGAGGGCCCAGACUGUCGAGGCCCGGGCCAAAGUCGCUGAGGAGCUGUUUAGGGCAGCCAAGGAGCAUGAGGCGAAGAGGAUAUAGAGGAGAAGGCUUGGUUGGACACCAAGCUCGCGGCUGCCCAAAAGAAAGUGGUUGAGCUUGAAGCACAGCUUGUAAAGGAGAAGGCUGUUUCGAGCUUGAGAAGGAGCUCAACCUUUAUAAGCCGGCCCUUGCAGCUUAGAAGAGAAGAGGGUGGCCACUGAGGAAGCUGCCUAAACUGCCGAAAGGAAUGCCACAACCGUUGAGGUCGCUGCCAGGGAAGCUAUCAUCCGAGCGAUCUCCGAGUACAAGUGUUGGAUUUCGGUGGUGCAACGAAAGGACUGGAUGUUUAAAAUUUUCAUUCAAAACAUUCGAUGCACCGAAAACCCAAAUGCCCAG
rnacentral:lncRNA from 1 species